rnacentral:rRNA from 1 species
AAAGAACCCCGGUGAGGGGAGUGAAAUAGAACCUGAAAUCACACGACCCGCAAACAGUCGGAGCGCAAUGGGAGGAGUAAUCUUUUCAGGCGUGACGGCGUACCUUUUGCAGAAUGAGCCUGCGAGUUAUUAGUGUUGGCAAGGUUAAGCGUUUAAGACGCGCAGCCGGAGGGAAACCGAGUCUGAAUAAGGCGUCGAGUCAGCAUUAGUAGACCCGAAACCGCGUGAUCUAGCCAUGGCCAGGGUGAAGUGUUGGUAACACAACAUGGAGGCCCGAACUCAUUGAUGUUGAAAAAUCUCGGGAUGAGCUGUGGUUAGUCCGGUGAAAUGCCAAUCGAACGCAGAGAUAGCUGGUUCUCCCCGAAAUGCAUUUAGGUGCAGCGUCAGGCGUUGUUCUUUGGGGGUAGAGCACUGAAUGGGCUAGGGGGCUUACCCGCUUACCGAACCCAACCAAACUCCGAAUACCAUUGAAUAAGCCUGGCAGUGAGACGGUGAGUGAUAAGAUCCAUCGUCAAAAGGGAAACAACCCAGACCGACAGCUAAGGGCCCUAAACGUGGACUAAGUGUGAAACGAUGUGAGAUCGCGUAAACAGCCAGGAGGUUGGCUUGGAAGCAGCCACCCUUUAAAAAGUGCGUAACAGCUUACUGGUCAAGCAAUUCUGCGCCGAUAAUGAACGGGAGUAAGUACGACACCGAAGCAGUAAGUUUGUCGAUUCUUCGGAAUCGCCAAGCGGUAGGAGAGCGCUGUACGUCAGAUACAAGCGGUACCGUAAGGAGCCGUGUCGGGGCGUACAGGUGAUUAUGCCGGAAUGAGUAACGAUAAGACAGGUGAGAAUCCUGUCCGCCGAAAACCCAAGGUUUCUCCGGCUAUGUUCGUCAGACGGAGGUUAGGCGGUCCCUAAGGUGAGGCCAGAAGGCGUAGCCGAUGGAUAUCCGGUCGAAAUUCCGGACCCGGGACAGUGGCAAUGGGAGGACGCUUCUCGAAAUUCCAUCCCGCACCGUUGGUAGUGGCGGGCUAGAAGAAGGCUGGGCCAGUUGAGAGAUUGGCAUAAAGGCCGACUUCGGGGAAGGGAUCCCUUCGGGGUGAACGAACUGGAAUGGAGGGGGGCCGAGAAAAGCCCCACAGCGAUACACUGUUUCCGACCGUACUGUAAACCGACACAGGUGGGUGAGUCGAGGAGACUAAGGCGUUCGAGAGAACUCUCGUUAAGGAACUAGGCAAAUUGACCCCGUAACUUCGGGAAAAGGGGUACCUCGCAAGAGGUCGCAGCGAAGCAGCCCAGGCGACUGUUUACCAAAAACACAGGUCUCUGCUAAGGCGAAAGCCGAAGUAUAGGGGCUGACGCCUGCCCAAUGCCAGUAGGUUAAUGGGAGAUGUCAGGGGCAACCCGAAGCAUUGAACUGAAGCCCUGGUGAAUGGCGGCCGUAACUCUAACGGUCCUAAGGUAGCGAAAUUCCUUGUCGGCUAAAUACCGACCCGCAUGAAAGGCGUAACGACUUGGGCACUGUCUCAACGAGAAGCUCGGUGAAAUUGUAGCACCCGUGAAGAUGCGGGUUAUGCGCAGUAGGACGGAAAGACCCCGUGGAGCUUUACUACACCCUAACGUUGCUGCCCGGCCUAGCUUGUAGAGCUUAGGUGGGAGAC